UACGUAGGGGCUAGCGUUAUCCGGAUUUACUGGGCGUAAAGGGUGCGUAGGCGGUCUUUUAAGUCAGGAGUGAAAGGCUACGGCUCAACCGUAGUAAGCUUUUGAAACUGUAAGACUUGAGUGCAGGAGAGGAGAGUGGAAUUCCUAGUGUAGCGGUGAAAUGCGUAGAUAUCAGGAGGAACACCAGUGGCGAAGGCGGCUUUCUGGUCUACCCCUGACGCUGAGGAGCGAAAGCAUGGGGAGCGAACAGGAUUAGAUACCCGGGGUAGUCCCUGAG
rnacentral:rRNA from 1 species